rnacentral:rRNA from 1 species
AGAGAGUGAUUUUGGCUCAGGAUGAACGCUAGCGACAGGCCUAACACAUGCAAGUCGAGGGGUAACAGGGGCUUCGGCCCGCUGACGACCGGCGCACGGGUGAGUAACGCGUAUGCAACCUGCCCGUAACAGCGGGAUAGCUCCCUGAAAGGGGAAUUAACACCGCAUAAGACCACGCUCUCGCAUGGGGACGGGGUAAAAUAUUUAUAGGUUACAGAUGGGCAUGCGUGACAUUAGUUAGUUGGUGAGGUAACGGCUCACCAAGACUGCGAUGUCUAGGGGUUCUGAGAGGAAGGUCCCCCACACUGGAACUGAGACACGGUCCAGACUCCUACGGGAGGCAGCAGUGAGGAAUAUUGGUCAAUGGACGCAAGUCUGAACCAGCCAUGUCGCGUGCAGGAUGACUGCCCUAUGGGUUGUAAACUGCUUUUAUAUUGGAAGAAUUGCGCUUACGAGUUAAGCGUUUGACGGUACAUUAUGAAUAAGGAUCGGCUAACUCCGUGCCAGCAGCCGCGGUAAUACGGAGGAUCCGAGCGUUAUCCGGAUUUAUUGGGUUUAAAGGGUGCGUAGGCGGAAAUGUAAGUCAGUGGUGAAAUCCUGCAGCUUAACUGUAGAAUAGCCGUUGAAACUGUGUUUCUUGAGUACAUUUGAGGUAGGCGGAAUGUGGUGUGUAGCGGUGAAAUGCAUAGAUAUACCACAGAACACCGAUUGCGAAGGCAGCUUACUAAACUGUCACUGACGCUGAUGCACGAAAGCGUGGGUAUCAAACAGGAUUAGAUACCCUGGUAGUCCACCCUGUAAACGAUGAUUUACUGGGUUGUAUGCGAUACACAUCAAGUUGACUGAGCGAAAGCAUUAAGUAAUCCACCUGGGGAGUACGUCGGCAACGAUGAAACUCAAAGGAAUUGACGGGGGCCCGCACAAGCGGGAGGAACAUGUGGUUUCAAUCGAUGAUACGCGCAGGAACCUUACCCGGGCUCGAA